rnacentral:rRNA from 1 species
UACGUAGGGUGCAGGCGUUAAUCGGAAUUACUGGGCGUAAAGCGUGCGCAGGCGGUUUCUGAAGUCCGUUGUGAAAGCCCCGGGCUUAACCUGGGAAUGGCAGUGGAAACUAGGAGACUUGAAUCUGGCAGAGGGGGGUGGAAUACCACGUGUAGCAGUGAAAUGCGUAGAGAUGUGGCGGAACACCGAUGGCGAAGGCAGCCCCCUGGGCCAAGAUUGACGCUCAGGCACGAAAGCGUGGGGAGCAAACAGG